rnacentral:ncRNA from 1 species
UGUCUCCUCCACCCUCCUCCUUUGGUGGAUUGGGCCCGAACAUUGGUUCGGGUUUUUUUCG